GACGGAGGGUGCAAGCGUUGUUCGGAAUUACUGGGCGUAAAGGGCGCGUAGGCGGUCUGUUAAGUUCGGUGUGAAAGCCCCCGGCUCACCUGGGGAACUGCGCCGGAAACCGACAGACUCGAGUACCGGAGAGGAGGGUGGAAUUCCUGGUGUAGCGGUGAAAUGCGUAGAUAUCAGGAGGAACACCGGUGGCGAAGGCGGCCCUCUGGACGGAUACUGACGCUGAGACACGAAAGCGUGGGUAGCAAACAGG
rnacentral:rRNA from 1 species